rnacentral:rRNA from 1 species
UACGGAGGGUGCAAGCGUUAUCCGGAUUUACUGGGUUUAAAGGGUGCGCAGGCGGAUAUGUAAGUCAGUGGUGAAAUCUCUAGGCUUAACCUGGAAAUUGCCGUUGAUACUAUAUAUCUUGAAUGCUGUGGAGGUAAGCGGAAUAUGUCAUGUAGCGGUGAAAUGCUUAGAUAUGACAUAGAACACCUAUUGCGAAGGCAGCUUACUACAUGAGUUAUUGACACUGAGGCACGAAAGCGUGGGGAUCAAACCAGGGAAU